UCCCUGGUAGUCCAGUGGCUAAGACCCUACAUUCCCAAUGCAGGGGGCCUAGGUUCGAUCCCUGGUUGGGGAA
rnacentral:tRNA from 1 species